CAAACUAUGUGUGACUGGCGUAGCAUGGACGUACCAUGAGGGAGCACAUAGAUAACGGCCGUACGCCUGGGCAGAGGUA
rnacentral:ncRNA from 2 species